rnacentral:rRNA from 1 species
AGUGAACGCUGGCGGUAGGCCUAACACAUGCAAGUCGAACGGCAGCACAGUAAGAGCUUGCUCUUACGGGUGGCGAGUGGCGGACGGGUGAGGAAUACAUCGGAAUCUACUUUUUCGUGGGGGAUAACGUAGGGAAACUUACGCUAAUACCGCAUACGACCUACGGGUGAAAGCAGGGGAUCUUCGCACCUUGCGCGAUAGAAUGAGCCGAUGUCGGAUUAGCUAGUUGGCGGGGUAAAGGCCCACCAAGGCGACGAUCCGUAGCUGGUCUGAGAGGAUGAUCAGCCACACUGGAACUGAGACACGGUCCAGACUCCUACGGGAGGCAGCAGUGGGGAAUAUUGGACAAUGGGCGCAAGCCUGAUCCAGCCAUACCGCGUGGGUGAAGAAGGCCUUCGGGUUGUAAAGCCCUUUUGUUGGGAAAGAAAAGCAGCAGGUUAAUACCCCGCUGUUCUGACGGUACCCAAAGAAUAAGCACCGGCUAACUUCGUG